UUGGCUUGGCGCCCCCGACCACCCGGGCACCCGGGCGUCUCCCACUGCAGCAUGCAGCCCGCCCGGCCCGCCCCGGCCCCGGCCCUGGAGGGCAGGUACCUUGGUGCUCCGGCCCCCAGGAGCCUCCCGGCGGAGAUCCUAGCGUCCCUCCAGCUCCCUGCGCCGACGUCAGCGUCAGCACUGGCGAGGGAAGGGGCGGGGAGCGCAGGAAGCGGUCCUUCCUGCAGCGGCCGCCGCCAGCCGGAAUAGCAGCGCGGAGCCGGUGCGCGCCGCAGCGCAGCGGGGCGGCCCGAGCCGGCGCCCUCCCCUCCGCCAGAACCCGCCGCCUCCCUUCCUGCGGGGACAGCGGCCACUCUCUGCAGGACCCAGGGAUCCCGGUGGGGGAGGGCGGUGGUCUCACCUGGUUUGGGGCGGAUCAAGGAUGAGAGGACCGAGUGUCCCUCUCUCUACUCCCUGGGGUUUUCCCGUGACCCCCAUGUCUAGGGUAUCUGGCGUUUGGACCGGCUGCCAGAGAUGACCCCGCCCCUGCUCCCUGGCAGGUGUUCCACGUGUCCAUAGCGUUCGCGUCACAAUGACCUGUCUACAGGUGGCUGACGCCUAGAACACCUCAGAGUUCCUUCCUCGGUUUGUGUAAAGGGUGCGUGCUACUUUAUAGAGUUUGGUGACUUGAAUGGACAGGAGAUUUCAUGAGGUGCACACAGACAGAGGGAAGCCAUGCUCCAGUGAAGGGAAGAGAAGAAAGAAAAUAGAUACACCGAGGAUGAGCAAGGGUGCUAAAGAGAAAGGAAUGCGUCAUGAUAUCGAGGCAUGUUUGAUGGACAUAAAUCCCAGGUCUCGAAGGACAGGGAACCCAUGCUCCAGUUCUUCCCAGAUCUCACUUCUCUCACCAGCCCUGGAAGCAGCAUUUCAAACAACCCUAAAAAUGAAAAUAAUACCUGUCCUUCCUGAAGUGCUGAAUAUGCUCAGGCCUGGCAUAUUCAUUGUGAGUAACAUAAGCACCUUGAUGAAUAUUCAAGAGCUGAGAGAUUUCUCUGAAGAAAAACAAGGAGUGGUGACCCUUAUGAACAGAAAACAGAGGAUUACUAGAGAGUUGAUGUUGCACACACCAUCCAGGCAUAUUUAA
rnacentral:lncRNA from 1 species